rnacentral:rRNA from 1 species
AUACGGAGGAUGCGAGCGUUAUCCGGAUUUAUUGGGUUUAAAGGGAGCGUAGGUGGGAUAUUAAGUCAGCUGUGAAAGUUUGGGGCUCAACCUUAAAAUUGCAGUUGAUACUGGUUUCCUUGAGUACGGUACAGGUGGGCGGAAUUCGUGGUGUAGCGGUGAAAUGCUUAGAUAUCACGAAGAACUCCGAUCGCGAAGGCAGCUCACCGGGCCGGAACUGACACUGAUGCUCGAAAGUGCGGGUAUCAAACAGGAUUAGAUACCCUGGUAGUCCGCACAGUAAACGAUGAAUACUCGCUGUUUGCGAUACACUGUAAGCGGCCAAGCGAAAGCGUUAAGUAUUCCACCUGGGGAGUACGCCGGCAACGGUGAAACUCAA